UACAGAGGGUGCGAGCGUUGUCCGGAAUCACUGGGCGUCAAGGGCGCGUAGGCGGCCCGAUAAGUAGGGGGUGAAAUCUUGCGGCUCAACCGCAAGGCUGCCUUCUAAACUGUCGGGCUGGAGCACGGUAGAGGCAGAUGGAAUUCCCGGUGUAGCGGUGGAAUGCGUAGAGAUCGGGAAGAACACCAGUGGCGAAGGCGGUCUGCUGGGCCGUUGCUGACGCUGAGGCGCGACAGCGUGGGGAGCAAACAGG
rnacentral:rRNA from 1 species